AGAGGCGGCUGUAGGGCCGUCUAUGGGGCGGCGGCGGGGUGCCGAUCCCAAAGCGGAACCUUAUGGGGGCGACGCCACCGCGCUGCGCUCCAUUUUAGGUCUGCGGUGGGGCUGAGGGGGAACGGCCCCAUAGAGCCGCUGUGUGGCCGUGUGGGACUGUGGGGUCUGCGCGGGGCUAUGGGGCCCAUGUGGGGCUAUGGGAUCCCAGGGUCCACUCAGGGUUACGGGGUCCCAUGUUCCAUGUGGGGCUAUGGGGUCUGUGUAGGGCUGUGGGUUCUGUGUAGGGCUAUGGGGUUUGUGUAGGGCUAUGGGGCCCAUGUGGGGCUAUGGGAUCCCAGGGUCCACUCAGGGUUACGGGGUCCCAUGUUCCAUGUGGGGCUGUGGGGUCUGUGUAGGGCUAUGGGGUCCAUGUGGGGCUAUGGGGUCUGUAUGAGGCUAUGGGGUCUGUAUGAGGCUAUGGGGUCUGUAUGGGGCAAUGGGGUCCAUGUGGGUCUGUGGGGUCUGUAUGGAGCUGUGGGGUAUGUAUAGGGCUAUGGGGUCUGUAUGGGACUAUGGGGUCUAUGCGGGUCUAUGGUGUCCGUGUGGGUCUAUGGGGUCUGCAUGAGGCUAUGGGGUCCAUGCGGGGCUAUGGUGUCUGUAUAGGGCUAUGGGGUCUGCAUGGGGCUAUGGGGUCCAUGCAGGGCUAUGGGGUCUGCAUGGGGCUAUGGAGUCCAUGCGGGGCUAUGGGGUCUAUAUGGGACUAUGGGGUCUGUGUGGGGCUAUGGGGUCGCUGUGUGGUUCCCCCCCGCUCCCUCAUGGGGCCGACCAUACGGGGCUGCUGCUCACUGUGGGGUGCGGAGCUGCAGGGACCCGCUUCAGCGCCGACCCGAUGGGACCCCCUUUGUUUCUUAUAGGGUCUCACAGAGCGCUCUAUUUGUUGUUGUGGGGUCUCCGCUCUGUUAUGGGGUCUCCCCUCUGUUUGUUGUGGGGCCUCUGCUCUGUUAUGGGGUCUCCGCUCUGUUAUGGGGUCUCCGCUCUGUUUGUUGUGGGGUCUCCGCUCUGCUGUGGGGUCUCCGCUCUGUUUGUUGUGGGGUCUCCGCUCUGUUGUUGUGGGGUCUCCGCUCUGCUGUGGGGUCUCCGCUCUGUUUGUUGUGGGGUCUCCGCUCUGUUUGUUGUGGGGUCUCUGCUCUGUUGUGGGGUCUCCGCUCUGUUGUGGGGUCUCCGCUCUGUUAUGGGGUUUCCAGGGCGGCAGUGUUUACCGCUCACACCUUCCCCUGCUGGGCUCACUGCCCUCAGCGGCACGUGGGGAAACGGAGGCGCUGCCGGGGGGGGCACAGCGCUCCCCCCCCCCCCCAAACCCCCCCCGGCUGUAGGGCCGCCAAGUGGGGGAUGGGUGAUGGCCGCGAUCCUAUGGGGUGGGCUCAGCGCGGCGCUUCCCUUUGCCCCACAUACCCAAAUGGGGCCCUGAGGGCAGCGCAGCGUCCACUGCCCCCCCCCGCCCCCCAACUGCUCCCCCAAACUGACCUCCACUGCCCCCCACUGCCCCCCAACUGCCCUCCACUGCCCCCCACUGCCCCCCAACUGACCUCCACCGCCCCCCAACUGCCCUCCACUGCUCCCCACUGCCCCCCAACUGACCUCCACUGCCCCCCC
ensembl:lncRNA